CAAUACAUAUAAUUCGGGAUGGCGGAAUCAUCCAAAUUUUUCUUGGAGGCAGCAAGCUUCUAAUACCUCCCAACCCUUCUCCCAAAAUUUUCAAAACCCUCAGAAUUUUCAUCUCUAUCGUCCCUCAACUCAAUUUUAACAUCCUCCUCCUCCAACCCAAAGAAAUACAGCCUUUGAGGAGAAGGUGUUGACUGCCCUUCAAGGUUUGGAGGCAAACACACAACUAUUGCACUCUCA
rnacentral:lncRNA from 1 species